rnacentral:sRNA from 1 species
ACGCGAAAUCGAGAAAUCGAGAAAUCGGGAAAUCGGGAAAUCGAGAAAUCAAGAAAGCAAAAAUGCGAAAACGCGAAAACGGGAAAUGAAAUAGAUUUCUCGAUUUCGCUUUCUUCAUUUCCCGAUUUCUCGAUUUCUCGAUUUUCCGAUUUCUCGAUUUCUCGAU